rnacentral:lncRNA from 1 species
CAAUCUUCAUCUUCAAUCUCUAUUCAAGAAUCAAGAACCAGUUGGAAGAAUAUGUUGAUUAUCACCACUAUUUUUCCUUUGAUUUUUAUGACUUUGCUUUUUCACUAAUUAAGUUAGAUAUAUAUAUGGAGUGAAUUUUGAUAUAAUUAGUAAAAAGUCAGUCCGUGCAUUAAGCUCUUGCUAUGUGCUUUCUGUCGGGGUAUUUUUACGAUUCAAAACCGUGACCUUCUGAUCAUAUGACAACAACUUUACCAGUUACGCCAAAGCUCACUUCUAUGUAAUUAGUGGAGAACUCGUUAAUUAGAUUGUUAUGGGAAUUGUUGUAGGAUUUUGUGUUCUAAUGAUCAAUAUCAGUCCCUUUUUUUAUAUGAAUUUAUUUUGUAUGGACAGAGGAGUUUCUCUCUGUUUUUUUUUUAUUUUGCAGAAAAAGAAAGGGGAAAUUGGAAGAAUAUGUUGAUCAUCACCAGUAUUUUUCCUUUGAUUUUCAUGACUUUGCUUUUUCAAUAAUAUAAGUUAGUGAAUUUUGAUGUAAUUAGUAGAGAAGAUGUUAAUUAGAUUGUUAUGGGAAUUGUUGUAGGAUUUUGUGUUCUAAUGAUCAAUAUCAGUCCCUUUCUCUAUAUAUAUAUUUUUUGUAUGGACAGAGGAGUUUCUCUCUGUUUUUUGAUUUUGCAGAAAAUAAGGGGAAAUUUUAUAUUUGAUUAUGAAAAAUGUGGUGAUCUCAGAGAUGUAUGGAUGGAUUAUUGUGUUUUCAAUAGUCUUGGUUUUUACGUUUGAUA